GAGUGGAAGAGUGAGUCUCGGCAUACAGACAUCAGUGCAUAAAAUUAAUACACUUCGUGUUUCAUCGAGAAUUCUCAGGAAGCCUUCAAAUCUAUAUCGUUAUAUUAGAAGCAAGAAGGGAUACAUGAAGGUCUCCAUCCUUGUGGCUGCCAUGUGUGUGCUGUCGCUGUCGCCAGUACGUGGCCUUAUUUAGGCAUAUUAAUAAACAACGUUGUGAAUGUUAUUUUCCUAAGGAGACGGUUAUUAAAUGAUGAGAAGUAAUUCCUUGUUGUUUAUGCUCCAAAAAGCUCGAGGAAACCAAAAAAUAAUUGCCCUUUGGGAUAAAGUAUUAUUUUCAGUUCGUUUGGAGAUUUACAAUGAACUUGAAUUAUAUACGUCUGUGGUUCUAGUUUUCAGAAAAUGCACUUCUGUUUGGUUCUCUCCUUAAUAGGGAUUUCGCUUUUUAUCGCGCGUCUGACAUUUGAUGGGAUUUUCACUAGGCUUAGAAGUGGGUCAACGAUUUUUAAACACGAAUUCAGCGCGUGGCAGUACGGUCGUUGGCCAUUGGUCGGGUCAAAGGCUGUUCCGGCCCCUGCAAGGCCUUCUGGGAACCUUCCAGCGUCACGUUGUAUCAAGCAAGACGGGCUGGGUGGUGUGGACAGAGCAUUGCCUUAUAGAUUCUAGUCCUGUCUUAGUGGAGCGCUGCCAUGCCUGAAAGUGAUCAGCAAACAAAACAGAAAAGCGAGAGCUGCGGCCGAAAUCUCAAGCUGUUAAGUACGAUUCCUGCAUUCAACACGCGGGACGCUUGUUUAACAUGGCUGCUGUGGUGUUCAUGAUCCUUAAUGCAAAAGAACGAUUUUUGCGGAAUAUUUCGGAACUCGACAAACCCACUCGAUGCUUUGGACAAUUAACAGCUUUUUCAAAGAUUCCGACUAGGUCGGCAGGAUUUUCUGGAAAUAAUGGGUGAUAAAAUAAGAGUCGCCUUCAAAUUGCAUAUCUGGGAUGGAGCGUCAUUCUGAAGACAUGCAUACGAAUUAAAUUUCCGAGGAGCUUAGAGUCGUCUGCAGCAAGAACUGUUACUCGAUUAAUGAUCAGGUCUUCUGUAUUGGUAUUCAUUAUGCAUGGAUGAAGUAUCGGAAAACAGGACUUCCCACCUAGACCUAGAAGAAGGUCUCUUAUGAUGCCCGCCUUUGAUCCCACUAUGAGUUACAAGAAGCUGUAUAAUGCAGCACACUAAUUCAGACUGCACAAUGUUGCCAAAUGAUGUCACUGCCAGCAAGGUCUUGGGCUGAAACCAGAAAAGGUAUGCCUAAUUAUAACAGUCUGCUUUGUGCCAAGCAUCAAGGUGAAGAUAAUCGCUCACAGUGAAGAUAAUGGUGGUUACAGGUACUUACUGACAAUGUAUUUGCUUGAUCUUCCAACUCAAAGGACUUCUUUUACAGAAGGCCAAGCUGAAAGAAACAUUUUUGUUGAUUGGCUGUGAUAAGGUCUGUAGCAUAAUUUUGUAUACAUUUUAACCAGUAUUGCCAGUAUAAACAGUUCAUGAUGGGGCACAAUGGCAUAUGCAAGUCCUUUAGCCAUUGAUACUCAAGACUGCAGGAUCUAGACUAUGUCAACGACCUAGGCUCCAAGAAAAGAUUGAAAACCUUUUUUAUUUUAUAUUUUUCUUGUAAAAUAGUUUUGAAAGUAAGUAUGUGACAAAAUGCCCAGUGAAAUGAAUUAUGUAUUUGCAAUUUAUAGCUAUUAGGUCUGGUCAUUUUUUUCUUUGCAUAUAUGUAUUUUUAAAACAGUGGCAGAAAUUGAACUAUUGGUUUUUGCGAUUCCUUUUAAGAAGUACAGCAGCCUCCUCCAUGCUCUUAGUCUUAAAGGUUUGUGUUGCACAUAAAAAAUAUUGAUUUUUCCACACACAUUAGUUAAGAUAAGCUUGAAUUUUUUUGUGUAAGUGUUUCUUGUGUAUCUUCACAUUGAACAAAUGUGCAGGGUUGAUUUGUUUUUCUUUUUUCUCUCUCUUUUUUUAAAUUUCCAUCUGCUUCUUGAGUUCAGCCACAGACUGGCUCAGAUUUAAAGUUCUACCCAGGGGAACUUCCAAAAGUAGAGUUUGUGAAAGCAGACUUCUCAUGUUUUUGAAACAUUCAGUCGUGGCAGUUUGUUUUGCACAGAAGUGUCUAAGUUUGGUGUUUAAUUGGCGUUUAUGCACUAUUAUGCCCGUGUCUUAUCCGAGUACUGCGGUCUCAAUCUAAUAAUAAUGUUAAUGGUAGCAGACUUUUGGGGACGGAUACACACAUGGCACUGUCAACACACUCCGUCCCUCGCGUGUUCUUUCUUACAACAUAUCACAAAGAUUUGUACAUGGUCUUUCUCCUCUAUUAUGUGGGAGCUUGUAUUUUUUAAAUGGGAAGGGUGAUAACUCUUACAUAAACAUCAAUACAUAAACAAGACGUCCAAAAUAUAUUAAUGUCAGGAAUGAUUAAACCCUCCUUGUUAUUAAUCAAAUGUUUCUCCAAUAGGUUAACAAAAUUUAACUUAUGGUUCGGAUGUUGUCCAGAGAUGUUUAAGCUUACAGGCACACACAUCUACACUUCUUUGAAUUCUCUGAGUCCUGCUCAGGGCCUGGGUUUCGCUCCACAUCCCCGGAGCACAACAGCAAGCUUGCGACCAUGAUCGCCAGCAACACACACCGCACCCUCAAUAUCUGGGCCCUGCUGUACAAUCUCGCCGAUGUCCGAGCUCGCUUGUGCAUGAAAGACCAAAAAGUCCACACAAAUCGACCACAAAUGCUCCUGAAAGUUGAAUACUCCGCAGGCAUGAUUAGCAGCACCCCAUAGGGCACAAAUCACAAUGUUUAAAUUGAAAUUGCCUUAAUUUUAGGAGAAAAAUGAAAUCCAAAGUGACCGCAAACCAAAAGCUUGCACACAUUCUGUGAGCACAGUUCAGGAAUGAUAAUAAAGGAAUAAUCCACUUCUUCACAAUAAAGGAAUGAUCCACUUUUUGAAUAAUUGUCCGUGACUAACCUUCCUAGAAUAACUUUCCUUGAAUAUCCUUCCUUACUUGGAAACUUCCAAACAGUAGGUGCUGCCUAGUCUGACACACCUGACUGUCAACAAUACAGUUUAGUGUCCCAGAACCACAGGUGCUGACUCGACAGAAACAUCUGGCUGACGAUACAGCUUCAGUGCUUCAAUAUCCACAAAAACUAGGCACGGCUAGUGUCGACUAAGCAUAUACACCAAGCUGUUGAUGAUGCUUUUCCAGUCAUCUUCUUCCUAUAGAUCCUUAUUUUUUCUCCUCACUGGUAAAUUCCUUCUCCUUUCCUGGGUAAUUCCUGAAAUGCUUAUUGUCUAAUGGAUAUUCUUAUCGAACUUAUCACUGUUGCAACAACAACCACAAAAUAAUUUGCAUCAUCAUCAUCACUUCCAGUCAAAUAUACAUCAUUUGACACCAUUCUUUCCCUGAUAUGGACGUAUUCCAUACCUUUACUAUGCAAGGGAUGAAUUUGAUUCCCAAAUAUCUUCUCUCAAAUUCUCUUCAGUCUGUCUCCUUCGAAGACUGGCAUGGUAAUAAAUCCAAUCAGUUAUUUUCCCCAUACACCUGGGGUUCAGUGAACCUUUUACUCAUGAACGCUUGCGUCACACAUCACACACUCAUGCAUUUACUACACUCACACUCCCUGUUAGUGACCAAAUACAAUGCGGUCUUGCCAUGGCACAGUGCCCUCAUCAUUCACAUAAUUUUUUACUUCCUCACGCACAAGUCUGGCAUCAGUCGAAGACCUGUUGACUGGAGGAUUGGUAAGGGAGUGUAGUUGAUGUGUAUUCUGGCGCCAGUCUCCCUCGAUUAUAUUGUGGGUCUCAGUUUCUUGUCAAUAAAACACGGAGGCAUAAACUCCUGGUCUACUUUGUAUCGCAUGCCAGUGUUACUGUUGUGGCUCGUUCUGGGCUAUGGGGCAUUGAUUUUUGAAGAACACCAAAGCGUGCUGCCAGAAUGCCAAACACGUUCUCCACUAUUCUUCGAGCUCUUGACAAUCGAUAAUCAAAAAUUCGUUGUCGCCUCCUCUCCAUCUCCUCUUCAGCAUCUUGCAGGUUCUGUAUGACCUUUCUGAACAGGAAUGGUUUUAGCAGGUAACUUUUUAGGGGGAAGGCAUCAUCCCCUACAAUAAAGUAUGGGACAGGUGUAAAACGGCCAGGCAGAGCCACUGGCGCUGGAAUAUUUAGAGUGUUCUUCUCGAGGGCAGCAGCUAGAGUACUGUCUCUGAAAACGCAAGCAUCACCUGCCCUGCCAUUUGCCCCUACGUCAAAAUACAGAAAUCUGUAUUUUGCAUCAACAGCAGCAAGAAGAGUUAUGCUGUGAAAUUUUAAAUAAUUAAAAUGGGUUGACCCUCCAGGGGACCGAAUGGCUACAUGCUUGCCAUCCAUAGCUCCAAUGCAGUUUGGCAGAUUCCACCGUUGUGCAAAUUCUUGUGAAAUUUUUGUCUUUAUUUACUAAUAACUUUGAAUGAAUACCAUAACACUGAUUGUUUACAAAGCCUAAUGUCUCUUUGUCAAAGAGACACUCGCAGACCACAUUACACAUUUAUUUAUCAACAAAUUUUGUGACUGACAAGGAGGUUACAAUAUGAUAUCACAGCAAUCAUUUCUUCGCCCCAAAUAAUGGAUGUCAUUUGUUGGAUGCUCCUAUGCAUUCUAUGUUUCCUACACUUAAACAAACCUCUACCUUCAAAUAAUCCACCCGAAGAAUCCUGUACAAUGCAGCACAGGUAUCCAUUACUAUGUUGUGGAUUGUGUUUCCUGGGAUCCGGAAAAGGAACGAUAGGUCCGCGAAUGAAUUGCCUGGAAAUAAAAUCAGACCACGUCUGCUCAUGUGGGUUGGCAUUCACAAAAAUUAUCUUGACAGUUCAUAUGGAACAUAUAUCAAUAAGAAAUUAAUCUGAAGUUUCAAGCAGCUUCAACUAAAUUACUGAAUGAUUCUCUGACAGUAAGACAUGAAAAUUAUAUUACAACUACUGUAAACAAUCAAUAGUGAUGAAUUCUGCAGAUUUUUCCCCUGGUUGUACAAUGAAGCAUUUUGCCUAAUUAAAAACAUACUAACCAAGUCUACCAACACAAAGAUGCAAUUAAACUGAUUUCUGUUUAGAUCCUGAGGAUAGUUGCUUACACCAGUAUGGUGUUUGUGCUCUUCCGCAUCAACUGGUUUUGUGGAUUUUUUUACUUGCAGACAGCAGAGGGUUUAUUUAAAUUGCCAUUAUUCUGAUAUUGCUACAAACACCGGGUCCUCACAAGGCUGUUGCCUGUCACCCCUGUUGUUUAUUAUGUACACCGAUAGCUGUAGAACUAUGGAGGAGACUAGCUACCUCAUUAAGUUCUCUCUGAUGCUGUGGCCAACAAAUAGUAAGGAAAGCUUCCUGCAAUUUUAUCAGGACCUCAACAGGUACUAAUGGUAGAAUUUACAUUAUUAAGUUCAGGUAAACGUUAUAUCAUGCCUGUAAAAUAGAAGCAAUAGGUACCUGAAAUCGUUUAUGCCGUCUAUAGUCUAGCUGCUCCAUGACAAAUGAAUUGUAUGUGGUGUGUGUGUGUGUGUUGAAGGUGCGUACAUUUUUCUAUUUGCUCAUAACUAGGGCACGUUUUCAAUAUUUAAAUUGACCAUUCAGACUAAUAACGUUGGAAUGAGCUGGAGAUCAAUUUGUGUUCCAUACUUAGUACUCUUCUGUACAUAAAAUUAACCAAACCUAAGCAUGCAAAGAAAACAAAAACCAAAAAAUGCAUACCUGACCCAAGGUACCGCAGGGUCACUGCCAAUCUUUCCUCGGCUUUAAUACACUGUCUCAUGACAGUAUCUUGUCUGCGAAUUGCAGGCUCGAUUAAAUAUAAAAGUUCUGCAGACGUAGUAGACGACAUUCGCAAAAAAGCGUCUGCAUUCUCUUGAGUCCUCCGAAGAUAUUUCUUUCAGAAGACACGAAAAGGCACCUAAACGACUCCUUCGCGCUACCCACCCCCUCACCCACAUCUUUUUCUUCUUCUUCUCUCUUUCUGCUUCAUCAUGCAAUAUUAUUAAUGUAGCAACAGUAACUUGCAGAAGUAUCUGAUUGUCUGCCAUUUUGUCGACUUCCCACAAUGCGCUGCGCGGAUGACGUCACGUCGCAAGACACUAGCGGGUGUCCUUGCUCCUCAGGCCACCAUCCUUCCUGAUGCUUGUGUUGUCCUCGUCGACUAGUGACUUGGAGACUGUACAACGUCUCUGGUACACGACACACCUCGCUCGCUCUUCCAAACAGCUUCUUAACUUAAACACUGUCUGUGUUAAUCCAAAAACAAUUGCCCCCCCCCCCCUUGACCUUUCUAUGCUCCUCUGUAUAUACACCCUCUGUCACCAUCCACACGGGGUGAGCUCUAGGUGCCUUGCUUGUGAGGUCUGAAACUCUUGGGGUAUCCAAAAAUCACGAGGCCCAUGAUUUCUACUAACAUUAGGACAUUCACGAGUGACAACCUUUCAUCCACUCAUACCCCUGUCCACUACAAAAAGCAAUGUUUAAAUCAUAAUCAUUUCACAUCAUAUUAUAUAGCUUAUGCAUUUGGUAACUAUUCGUAACUAACUACUGCAAAAUUUUAGUGCUGUAGCACAAGCCUUUCUUGACAAAGUGCUUUUAUAGUUAACGACUGGUUGUCAAAAAUGGCAAACAGAGAAAUUCAAGUUUGAAGAUUCAAUAUGUAUAUAGCACUUCCAUAUCACUUCAAAAAAUAUUUGUUGUUUAUAAGCUGCAUUAGGCGUCUUGGUCUGAUUGCCUACAUCUCUUUUUAUCUCGAUGCUCUUGAUAGGCUUUCAGAAUGGUUACUGUUGGAACAAUAUCAAGAUGUUUCAUCACCUGAGUGAAAUGAGCAGAGCCUUGAUUAAAAAAUGGAUACAGCUGAUGCAACUGCUGAUUUCACACGCGCAGCACCCACAAAUUUUGUCUUUGGACAUCUAACCCCGAUGGUUGCAAUCAAGGCUUCAUUUGCAUUUUGGGUUUUUCCAUGCUGUAUACUCCUUAAAAGUUUAGGGGUGACAUUCUUUCAUAGAUGGGUUGAAUGGCACGUGAAACUUCAUAAGCAUUCCUGGGGUUUCUCCCGCAGCUACUGCUUUCUUGCGGAAGCACCAAGAGUCUGGGCCAUCAGGACAUCUCAGAUGAUGUGGUUCCUUUUCUGUAGACAUACAGUGUAGCAAUGUUGCCCAGAUAGCUAUCCUCUCCCAGGUGUUUGUUGAUUGCAUUUCUGUAAUAUUCUUGCAGUUUUGUGCAGACAUUCAUUGUUAAGGCUCCAUACUUCCUUCCUCCUAAUUUUUCCUCUGUUGCCUUUUUCCUAGGAACUGCUCCCAUCCUUUUGUGGCAAUUAUUGACACACUCUAACUUUUUUUAUCUUUGUGUUGCCAUACACAUUUGCUGCUGUUAAUGCUAAGUUGGCAGUAGAAUCACCAUCUGACAGCAUACUGGUAUAUUGCAUGUUGUGUUUGUCUAAAGAUCUGCCCCAUAGUAUGAGUGCUGCCUCCUUCUCCAUUGCCUUUGAUGAACCUUCAUAAUUAAGUGUGCAGCUGUCCUUAUGCAGUUUAUCCCAUUCUUUUCUCUCCUCAGCAGUCAUAUCUUUAACUUUGGCAGCUUUACAAGCCUGGCAGUGCUAAGACCUGUAUAAUCUAGGACUAGCCCUGUCACAAAAUCUAUCACUACUCCAACUUCAUGACUGGAGGUAAAACCCCUUUUAUGCCAUGUACCAUCCAAUGAAACCAUAACAUCAAGGGGGGAAACAACUUUGCUGCAAGCAACAUUUUCAUUAUUAUCAUCAUUAUUCUGGGGAGAGACAUUGCUGAAAACAACAUUUCAUCAUUGUCUAUAUUAUUAUCUAAUUCUGCAUAAGUAUCACGCACAGCUUCAGCUGAUGCCUUCGUCACCAUUUCACUAACAUAAAUGUGUGCCGUGCCGAUCUUUUUGGUCAUUUUCUGGUAUGUUUUGUGAUGCAUGCCAGGAAUGUUUACCAAAGCUGAAAAUUUAUUCAUGGCUGUGUAACGAAGGCCAAGUUCAUUAAAAGAAAGUACUCAGGCACUAUUUAUAUCAAAACCUGUUUCAAUUCAAUUCAAUUUAACUUUAUUAUCUCCACGAGGAGAAAUUAACAGACGUGGUAAAACAACUGGCUUAUAAUAAGAACUUAUAAUAAAAACUUAAUUCCAUUCAAACUAUCAUCUCACAC